rnacentral:rRNA from 1 species
UACGUAGGGGGCAAGCGUUGUCCGGAAUCAUUGGGCGUAAAGCGCGUGUAGGCGGCUUGGUAAGUCCGCUCUGAAAGCCCCGGGCUCAACUCGGGAACUGCGCUUGAUACUGUCGAGCUAGAGUGUGGAAGGGGCGAUUGGAAUUCCGUGUGUAGCGGUGAAAUGCGUAGAUAUACGGAGGAACACCAGAGGCGAAGGCGGAUCGCUGGGCCAACACUGACGCUGAGACGCGAAAGCUAGGGUAGCAAACGGG